rnacentral:rRNA from 1 species
CCUACGGGUGGCAGCAGUAGGGAAUUUUGCGCAAUGGGGGAAACCCUGACGCAGCAACGCCGCGUGAUCGAUGAAGCCGUUCGGGGUGUAAAGCUCUGUCAGUGGGGACGAAACCUGACGCUACCCACAGAGGCAGCACCGGCUAACACCGUGCCAGCAGCCGCGGUAAUACGGGGGGUGCAAGCGUUGUCCGGGAUCAUUGGGCGUAACGAGUUCGUAGGUGGCACGUUAAGGCUGGUGUUAAAGGCGGAAGCUCAAAUUCCGGAGGGCACUGGAUACUGGCGGGCUUGAGUGCGGUAGAGGUAAGGGGAAUUCCUGGUGUAGCGGUGAAAUGCGUAGAUAUUAGGAGGAACAUCGGUGGCGUAAGCGCUUUACUGGGCCGUAAUUGACACUGAGGAACGAAAGCCGGGGUAGCAAAUGGGAUUAGAUACCCCAGUAGUC